rnacentral:rRNA from 1 species
GAAGGAGAUUAAAGAUUUAUCGGUGAUGGAUGGGGAUGCGUCUGAUUAGCUUGUUGGCGGGGUAACGGCCCACCAAGGUACGAUCAGUAGGGGUUCUGAGAGGAAGGUCCCCCACAUUGGAACUGAGACACGGUCCAAACUCCUACGGGAGGCAGCAGUGAGGAAUAUUGGUCAAUGGGCGAGAGCCUGAACCAGCCAAGUAGCGUGCAGGAAGACGGCCCUAUGGGUUGUAAACUGCUUUUAUAAGGGAAUAAAGUGAGUCUCGUGAGACUUUUUGCAUGUACCUUAUGAAUAAGGACCGGCUAAUUUCCGUGCCAGCAGCCGCGGUAAUACGGAAGGUCCGGGCGUUAUCCGGAUUUAUUGGGUUUAAAGGGAGCGUAGGCCGGAGAUUAAGCGUGUUGUGAAAUGUAGACGCUCAACGUCUGCACUGCAGCGCGAACUGGUUUCCUUGAGUACGCACAAAGUGGGCGGAAUUCGUGGUGUAGCGGUGAAAUGCUUAGAUAUCACGAAGAACUCCGAUUGCGAAGGCAGCUCACUGGAGCGCAACUGACGCUGAAGCUCGAAAGUGCGGGUAUCGAACAGGAUUAGAUACCCUGGUAGUCCGCACGGUAAACGAUGGAUGCCCGCUGUUGGUCUGAAUAGGUCAGCGGCCAAGCGAAAGCAUUAAGCAUCCCACCUGGGGAGUAC